rnacentral:rRNA from 1 species
AUUGAACGCUGGCGGCAUGCCUUACACAUGCAAGUCGAACGGCAGCGCGGGAGCAAUCCUGGCGGCGAGUGGCGAACGGGUGAGUACUAUAUCGGAACGUGCCCAGUCGUGGGGGAUAGCCCGGCGAAAGCCGGAUUAUUACCGCAUACGACCUACGGGCGAAAGGGGGGAUCGCAAGAACUCUCGCUCUUGCAGCGGCCGAUAUCAGAUUAGGGAGUUGGUGGGGUAAAGGCCUACCAAGCCUGCGAUCUGUAGUUGGUCUGAGAGGACGACCAGCCACACUGGGACUGAGACACGGCCCAGACUCCUACGGGAGGCAGCAGUGGGGAAUUUUGGACAAUGGGCGCAAGCCUGAUCCAGCAAUACCGCGUGCAGGAAGAAGGCCUUCGGGUUGUAAACUGCUUUUGUCAGGGAAGAAAUCCUCUAGGCUAAUACCUUGGGGGGAUGACGGUACCUGAAGAAUAAGCACCGGCUAACUACGUGCCAGCCGCCGCAGUAACAC